rnacentral:lncRNA from 1 species
UUUGCACAAGCAAAAACAUAAACAUAUAUGGCUUGCACGAGGGCAAGCAAUAGCCAAAAGUGAAAGAUUCUAAACUAAACAUUCAUACAAGUACUAUGAUUAACUUUUAAUCACAUACAUGCAUUCAAUAUUUACAUUCAUUCUUUUCUUUAUACAUCAUAUGAUCUCCAAAAUUGCAUAACAAUUCUUUCCUAAAAAACUUAAGCUUUUAUAUUU